UACGGAGGAUGCGAGCGUUAUCCGGAUUUAUUGGGUUUAAAGGGUGCGCAGGCGGCACGGCAAGCCGGCGGUCAAAUCGCGGGGCUCAACCCCGCCCAGCCGUCGGAACUGCCGGGCUAGAGUGGGCGAGAAGUGCGCGGAACGCGUGGUGUAGCGGUGAAAUGCAUAGAUAUCACGCAGAACUCCGAUUGCGAAGGCAGCGCACCGGCGCCCUACUGACGCUCAGGCACGAAAGCGUGGGUAUCGAACAGG
rnacentral:rRNA from 1 species